rnacentral:sRNA from 1 species
CAUGUGCUUUUAAGAUCCGGUUGCGAUUCUAGUUCUUAUACUCAAUCAUACACAUGACAUCUAGUCAUAUUUGA